rnacentral:rRNA from 1 species
AUUGAACGCUGGCGGCAUGCCUUACACAUGCAAGUCGAACGGCAGCACGGGAGCAAUCCUGGUGGCGAGUGGCGAACGGGUGAGUAAUACAUCGGAACGUGCCCAGUAGUGGGGGAUAACCCGGCGAAAGCCGGACUAAUACCGCAUACGACCUACGGGUGAAAGCAGGGGAUCGCAAGACCUUGCGCUAUUGGAGCGGCCGAUGUCAGAUUAGCUUGUUGGGGGGUAAAAGCCUACCAAGGCAACGACCUGUAGCUGGUCUGAGAGGACGACCAGCCACACUGGGACUGAGACACGGCCCAGACUCCUACGGGAGGCAGCAGUGGGGAAUUUUGGACAAUGGGCGCAAGCCUGAUCCAGCCAUGCCGCGUGCGGGAAGAAGGCCUGG